rnacentral:rRNA from 1 species
AGUGAACGCUGGCGGUAGGCCUAACACAUGCAAGUCGAACGGCAGCACAGUAAGAGCUUGCUCUUACGGGUGGCGAGUGGCGGACGGGUGAGGAAUACAUCGGAAUCUACUUUUUCGUGGGGGAUAACGUAGGGAAACUUACGCUAAUACCGCAUACGACCUACGGUUGAAAGCAUGGGAUCUUCGGACCUUGCGCGAUUGAAUGAGCCGAUUUCGGAUUAGCUAGUUGGCGGGGUAAAGGCCCACCAAGGCGACGAUCCGUAGCUGGUCUGAGAGGAUGAUCAGCCACACUGGAACUGAGACACGGUCCAGACUCCUACGGGAGGCAGCAGUGGGGAAUAUUGGACAAUGGGCGCAAGCCUGAUCCAGCCAUACCGCGUGGGUGAAGAAGGCCUUCGGGUUGUAAAGCCCUUUUGUUGGGAAAGAAAAGCAGCAGGUUAAUACCCCGCUGUUCUGACGGUACCCAAAGAAUAAGCACCGGCUAACUUCGUG